UAUGGCCAUAUCACCUUGAAACACCAGUUCUCGUUCAAUCACUGAAGUUAAGCAAUGUCAAGCCUGGUCAGUAGCUAGAUAGGUGAAUGCUUGGUAGUUCCUAGGUGUUGUAAG